GGGCGUAUGUAUGAAUGUAUAUAUAUAUAUUAAAAAAGGAAAAUGGAUAUCGGUGGCAUGGAGUUUGAGAGUGAUGGAAUAGGAAGGAACCUUAUCACUUUAUAGAAAAUACUGGGACCAAAAAAGCUACAUCCCUGUUGUAAGAGCUGUCCACAUUGCCUCGAUUCUUGAGAUUAUUAUUUCACAAAAAUCUGCGUCACUUCUUAUCAAAAACUGCACCGUUCCUCUCUCUAUAUAUAGCACACAUUCACCCCCUUUUUCAUUUCAUCCGCCUCUCAAUUUCCAUCUCUGGCUAAUUCUUUCUCUUGCUCAGCCCUGCUAUCGUUUUCCUGCUGCUUCACUAGCUAGCCUUGCAUGUUGGCUUGGGAAGUUUGAUGCAGCCAAGGAUGACUUGCCGACUGAUUUACAACUCCACUUUUUAUUCAUAUAUAUAUUUCAACAAAUAAUGAUCAUGAAGAAGAAAAAGUUGGCAGGAUACUUCAUAAUUAGGGCAUCCAGUAUCUUUUAUAUAAAUUCCACCGGCAAAAGGCGUUUCAGGUGAGGUACUGUACAGUAUAAAGAAGGGUUAAUUACUCUGAUUGUCAUCUUUUAUUAUAGUCAUUCCCCAUUUUCAUAAAUGUGAUGAAGCUUACAACAGAUUUCAUUUCUCUCCCUUUCAAUUUAUACACAUUAUUGAUCUCAUCUUUGUCAACUGAGACAAACCCGAGAGUAGGUUACUUAUUCAGUGGGGAAUUAUUGGCAUUGAUGUGCAUUUUUCAAUAGAAGUAGCCAGUAGUUGUUUCCAUGUGCCUCAAGGCCAAUGCCUACAUAUAAUUGCAUGCUUAUUAAUUAUACUGAUUGCCAAUUGUCGUUCCACAACUGUCUCCAGCAAAUGGCCAAUGUAUAUACAUUGUUGGCAAACAUUAGUUUCAGAAUUUUAUGUCAUGUCGUCAGUACUUUGUCAGGCAAAUAUUUGUCUUUAGAUUCGUGCGCUUCAGAGUCUUCAAGUUUCAAGGGAAUAUAUAAUAAAUUAGGGGCGUAGGAUUCAUUUUGUUUUAGUUUGAAGGUUAUAUACCUAUUCAAGCCAAAUUAAGCAUUGCGGUCUUAAAAUCAUUAAACUCGGAAUUUUUAUUUCAAUAUUUUAUAAAUAUAAACAAAAGCAAUUAUUUAAUUAAAAUAAAAAAUCCUUAAAUAAUAUAAUGUUUUAAUAUAAAAUAAAAUAAAUACAUAAAACUUAAUUAGUUAUCACUAAAAUAAAAAAAAUUAAGUAUUUAAUUAUUUUAUUAUAUAACUUUUAUAUCUAUUUGAUGUGAAAUUAUCUAUUAAACCUGCAAAGUAUAUAACAACGCGUCAGUUUCAAUUAUACAACAAAAGAAAUAUUCAUAAAAUAGUAAAUGUAUUUAAUAAAUAUUAUAUUAUAUAUUAACUUAUUAAAUUUUUUUAUAUUAUUUUAUGUAUAAUAAUAAUUUACAUGUGUAGUGCAUACAAAAGGCCAAAUUAGUAUAUAUAAUGUAUAUUAUAAAUUAUUUUUAUUUCUAUUUCUAUUUAAUGGAAUUGAAUUUAAUUCUUAUACUAUAAAUUAUUUUGGGAAGUUACAAAUUAUUAAAAAAGAUAUAUUUCGAUACUUAAAUUUAGGCCAUUUGACCAUUUAACAAUUAAAUUUUUGAUGUAAUAUGAUAGACGUUUCAAUUUAAUUAUUUUUAUGAUAUAAAAAUACCCUUUGAUAUGUGAUUUCAAUUCAUAUAUAUAUAUAUAUAUAUAUAUAUGUAAAUAUUAUUAAGAAAUACAGUUUAAGUAUCUAUUAGAUAAAAUAUGAAAUAAAAACAUAUUUUAAUUAUUUAUUAAAAUAACGGAACGAUUAAAAUUUAAUGAUUGAAGUAUGCAUUUUUCUAUAUGUAUUUAAUUGACGUGGGGAUAACAAUUGAUGGAGUAAUGGGAUUCCCAGGUGGGUUUUGGACAAACAAACAUAUCAUCAGUAGGAAGGAGAUACUAACUCCAAUUAUUGUUUUACAGGCAGUUACAUAAAAUUUGUAAUAACAUUUCAAUCGUGAUACAUUGUCAAUGUAAUCUAUAAUUUAAAUAAAUAUUAAGUGAUAAGUUUUGAAAGGAAAUCUUUUUUAUACGAUUUUUUUUUUUUUUUUUUUAGAAUUUCAUUAAAGAAAAAAUUAUCAAAAUUAUACGCAUAAAAUACCUGAAGGAUAUUCUAGACCGAAAAAGUAUAAUUUAGGUCGUAGGCCCUAAUUUUUCAAAUCUAAUUAAAUGGUAGCUACUGGAAUUUAGUCCAUGAGUAAGUCGAUUGGUAUGUCUGUAUGGACAUAUGUCCAUACAUAGUCCAGCAGGGCCACCCAAAAUGUCACAAAUCGGAGGAACCCAUUUGAUACUCCCAUGUGGCACGAUAGACUCCCAGAAUCAUUAUGAUUUUCACGUUAUGCAAGAUUCAUUUAUAUCAAUUGGUGGUCUACUCCUGGACCGUAUCAGAAAAUUUUAUUAUAUUAUUUUUUUAUUCAACAAAUUAGAACUGCAUUUUAUUAUUGAAAAUAUAAAAUUUAACUAAUAAUAAUAAAUGAAUUUAUGAAUGCAUUAUUAGGCAUACUCGCAGAGCAAAUGAACUCCGCAUUGUGUAUGAGACUUUUUGUUAUAUUUGAAUACACAAGUCUUUUGCA